GCUGGGCUUGGUGGCGCAUGCCUUUAAUCCCAGCAGCUUGGGAGGCUGAGGCAGGAGGAUCACGAGUUCAAGGCCAGCCUCAGCAAUUUAGUGAGGCCCUAAGCAAUUUAGUGAGACCCUGUCUCUA
rnacentral:sRNA from 1 species